rnacentral:rRNA from 1 species
CGACCGCUGGCGGCGUGCUUCACACAUGCAAGUCGAACGGAAAGGCCCUGCUUUUGUGGGGUGCUCGAGUGGCGAACGGGUGAGUAACACGUGAGUAACCUGCCCUUGACUUUGGGAUAACUUCAGGAAACUGGGGCUAAUACCGGAUAGGAGCUCCUGCUGCAUGGUGGGGGUUGGAAAGUUUCGGCGGUUGGGGAUGGACUCGCGGCUUAUCAGCUUGUUGGUGGGGUAGUGGCUUACCAAGGCUUUGACGGGUAGCCGGCCUGAGAGGGUGACCGGCCACAUUGGGACUGAGAUACGGCCCAGACUCCUACGGGAGGCAGCAGUGGGGAAUAUUGCACAAUGGGCGGAAGCCUGAUGCAGCAACGCCGCGUGCGGGAUGACGGCCUUCGGGUUGUAAACCGCUUUCGCCUGUGACGAAGCGUGAGUGACGGUAAUGGGUAAAGAAGCACCGGCUAACUACGUG